rnacentral:lncRNA from 1 species
CUUUUAACAAGUUGACAGUCUUUUGGCACACGCUCCUGAGAUCUGAGAAGCAAGGGAAAAAAGACUGUAUUAUACCCUACACUGGCUGGAUUGUAAGGAGCUGUCAGUGUGUUGCAGACAAGUGGAAUGUUUCUUGGGAUUUGACAUUGCUGCAUUGCAUAUAAUGAAGGCUACCUUGCAAAUGGGUUUACUGAGCAGAAUGUGGAAGAAUGGACAAGUGACAAAAAGGAUGGAGAAGUGGCUAAAAUACCAGACACAGCUGCAAGAAUGA